rnacentral:rRNA from 1 species
CCUACGGGAGGCAGCAGUGGGGAAUAUUGCACAAUGGGGGAAACCCUGAUGCAGCGACGCCGCGUGAGUGAAGAAGUAUGUCGGUAUGUAAAGCUCUAUCAGCAGGGAAGAAAAUGACGGUACCUGAGUAAGAAGACCAGGCUAACUAAGUGCCAGCAGCCGCGGUAAUACGUAGGGGGCAAGCGUUAUCCGGAUUUACUGGGUGUAAAGGGAGCGUAGACGGCAGCACAAGUCUGGAGUGAAAUGCCGGGGCUUAACCCCGGAACUGCUUUGGAAACUGUGCAGCUAGAGUGCAGGAGAGGUAAGUGGAAUUCCUAGUGUAGCGGUGAAAUGCGUAGAUAUUAGGAGGAACACCAGUGGCGAAGGCGGCUUACUGGACUGUAACUGACGUUGAGGCUCGAAAGCGUGGGGAGCAAACAGGAUUAGAUACCCCGGUAGUC